rnacentral:lncRNA from 1 species
AGGAUGGCAUCCUAUGGCAGGGCCCCCAUAUGGAGCGGUGCCAGAGAUCGACCAUGAAGAAGGAGCAUAGACGAAGUGUUAUGGAGUGACUGCAGUCCUCAUUCCUUGUUCCCCUGCACCGCUUGAGGGGGAGGAGGUAGGAGAAGGAAUGGGAGUGAGAAUUAGUGCACUCAUCAAUGUUUAGUCACCACAGAUAUAAGGAAUGAAGGAUAUAAGAGCCUGAAAACAUUCAAGAGGAAAAUGUCCAAAUAUAGAUCUUUCUGUUGUCAAAUGGAUGCUUGGCAGAGGGAAAUCACUAUACUAGAUGAUGGGAGAUACACCAAUUGUCUAGAGCUUUUCUCAGAUUAUGAAGACUCUUCAGCUAUCUUAAGGAUUUCUCUGUUCUCUGAAGGCCUUCUACUCAAGGCCAGAAGUGAGAAAGAAGAUGGGAACUGUGCAUUCAAACCUAGGGAUUGAGAAGGGUGGAAUAUGGCUAAUCUUUGAUUCAGUUUUGUUCUGUUGGAGCAUGAGGAGUUGGGUAGAAAACAGCAUGCAGCUUCUGACUGAAAGGGGCACCCUUUAAGUCUUAAAGGAUAUGUUGAUUUAAUGCUUUCUCUAGAUAAGGAUGCAACAUAUGUCAAAUAAAUUAUAUAUUAGAAUGCAGGAGAAUUUGGUUUUAUUUUCACGUUAGCAGAGAAGAUAAAGAAACUUUGUUUAACAGCUGGGUUUGAUCUCCGAGAUAGCAGGGAUGUCUGCUUGGAAAAGACACUUCAAAAGCAGGUUGAACUGACAGAAGUUAUAGCCACAGCUUUGCCAUCUACCUGUACAGUAACAAGUUUUCCUGACAUUCUCUCUGUGUUCAACACAGCUGAGCAGAAAUAAUAAUAAAAAAUACUUAUGACUGUGAAAAAAUUAGACAGCAAAAGGGAAAUAUGUUCUUCUUGAAAUCUUGCUUAUAGAAUUUGUUUCUGUUGAAAGAUUAAAG